GCUUCGGAGAUUAAGCCAUGCAUGUCAGCGAACCUGGAGGAGAAGCGACGAACGGCUCAGUAAUGCUGCGACGAUUUGCUCUGCACGGGAAGAUAACCGCGGGAAACAGCGGCUAAGACGCAGAAUAAGACGCAGCCCUAUCAGCUAGUUGGCAGUGUAAGGGACUACCAAGGCGACGACGGGUGACGGGAAAUGGGGGUUUUAUUCCGGAGAGGGAGCCUGAGAGAUGGCUCCCACGUCCAAGGACGGCAGCAGGCGCGAAAAUUGCCCACUCUUUGAGGAGGCAGUUAUGAGACGUAGAAUAGGGAAGCACUGUAAAGACGUGGAUCUGAUGCGAUUGGAGGGCAAGUUUGGUGCCAGCAGCCGCGGUAAUACCGACUCCAAGAGUUUCUAUGGUGGAUGCUGCAGUUAAAAAGUCCGUAGUUGUGAGUGCAAUGAAAGGGUGCGGAUCAAGCGUGCCUGGAUUGUUACUGGUGGCGGAACGGACAGGGGGCACAGUAUAGCUGGGCGAGAGAUGAAAUGCCACGACCCCAGCUGGACUAGCAGAGGCGAAGGCGGUGCUCUUGUACGAAUCUUGGGAUCAAGGACGAAGGCUGGAGGAUCGAAAGUGAUUAGAUACCGCUGUAGUUCCAGCAGUAAACGAUGCCGACUUGGGAUGCCCUUAGGGUGUGCCGGCGAGAAAUCGAAGUGUUCGGGCUCUGGGGAUAGUAUGCUCGCAAGGGUGAAAAUUAAAGAAAUU
rnacentral:rRNA from 1 species